AGCGAACGCUGGCGGCAGGCCUAACACAUGCAAGUCGAACGAACCUUUCGGGGUUAGUGGCGGACGGGUGAGUAACACGUGGGAACGUGCCUUUAGGUUCGGAAUAACUCAGGGAAACUUGUGCUAAUACCGAAUGUGCCCUUCGGGGGAAAGAUUUAUCGCCUUUAGAGCGGCCCGCGUCUGAUUAGCUAGUUGGUUGAGGUAAUGGCUCACCAAGGCGACGAUCAGUAGCUGGUCUGAGAGGAUGAUCAGCCACAUUGGGACUGAGACACGGCCCAAACUCCUACGGGAGGCAGCAGUGGGGAAUCUUGCGCUAUGGGCGAAAGCCUGACGCAGCCAUGCCGCGUGAAUGAUGAAGGUCUUAGGAUUGUAAAAUUCUUUCACCGGGGACGAUAAUGACGGUACCCGGAGAAGAAGCCCCGGCUAACUUCGUG
rnacentral:rRNA from 1 species